rnacentral:rRNA from 1 species
GACGAACGCUGGCGGCGUGCUUAACACAUGCAAGUCGAACGGAAAGGCCCUGCUUUUGUGGGGUGCUCGAGUGGCGAACGGGUGAGUAACACGUGAGUAACCUGCCCUUGACUUUGGGAUAACUUCAGGAAACUGGGGCUAAUACCGGAUAGGAGCUCCUGCUGCAUGGUGGGGGUUGGAAAGUUUCGGCGGUUGGGGAUGGACUCGCGGCUUAUCAGCUUGUUGGUGGGGUAGUGGCUUACCAAGGCUUUGACGGGUAGCCGGCCUGAGAGGGUGACCGGCCACAUUGGGACUGAGAUACGGCCCAGACUCCUACGGGAGGCAGCAGUGGGGAAUAUUGCACAAUGGGCGGGAGCCUGAUGCAGCAACGCCGCGUGCGGGAUGACGACCUUCGGGUUGUAAACCGCUUUCGCCUGUGACGAAGCGUGAGUGACGGUAAUGGGUAAAGAAGCACCGGCUAACUACGUG